rnacentral:lncRNA from 1 species
AAAUUUUUUUCGAAAUGAAAAAAUUAUUUUUGUGAAUUUGUUUAAAAGAAAUUGUUUAAUAUAUUGUAUAUACUCUGCGUCACUAUAGUGUCGCAUGUAGGGGGGUGUGCGCCACUGGCUAGAACUAUCGUUCUCUGGGAUAUUUGUGUACUCAGCAUGUAAAUUCAACAUUUCAACGGAUAUGAAGCACUCAGAAAUAGAAACAUUUGUAUUUAUUCAUCUCAUAUUCUAUUCCAUCUAAUCUUUUAAUCUUAUUCCUUCAGAUAUUGGGUCUAUUGAAUAUAAAUAAAUCUUUGCUUUUAUUUCCUCGUAUUUAAGUAUUUACUUAUAGUAAUUGAAUAAAGCAUUAAAGAAAUGACUAUUCAAUUAGUAUUAAGUAAACACUUAAAUAUUUGUAAGUAAAAGCAAAUACUUCUUUUUAUUCAAUAGACCCAAUAACACAUUAUACAAAUGUUUUAUUUGUUCGUUUUCUUACACUCUCUUUCAGGUUUCCCUAGCUGGAUUCUUGUCUUGGCCUUUUCACUUCUUCUAUAAUUUUGUCUAUUACUGAUUGCAGAUUCCAAAUACAGUCUACUGAAAAUCUACCCUAAUUAUUUCUUAAAAAUUAUACUGGGAAUUUUGAAAAACGUGACUAUUCUUUGCGUUGGAAGAAAAUUAAAGGAUUUGCCAUACAACUGCAAAAACUGUAUGUGUGAAAUGGAGCAAACAAUUUUUACAUAAAAUGCAUACAUGUAACAUUCAAGAUUCGUGCAAAAAUGCCAUAAGUUUAAACUAAUUAACAAUUACAAUGAAUAAAUUAUAUGUUAUUUAUGAUACAGCUGCAUUAGAAUAAAAAAAUAGAUAUUCAGUGGUA